rnacentral:rRNA from 1 species
AGAGUUUGAUCCUGGCUCAGGAUGAACGCUGGCGGCGUGCCUAAUACAUGCAAGUCGAGCGAACGGACGAGAAGCUUGCUUCUCUGAUGUUAGCGGCGGACGGGUGAGUAACACGUGGAUAACCUACCUAUAAGACUGGGAUAACUUCGGGAAACCGGAGCUAAUACCGGAUAAUAUUUUGAACCGCAUGGUUCAAAAGUGAAAGACGGUCUUGCUGUCACUUAUAGAUGGAUCCGCGCUGCAUUAGCUAGUUGGUAAGGUAACGGCUUACCAAGGCAACGAUGCAUAGCCGACCUGAGAGGGUGAUCGGCCACACUGGAACUGAGACACGGUCCAGACUCCUACGGGAGGCAGCAGUAGGGAAUCUUCCGCAAUGGGCGAAAGCCUGACGGAGCAACGCCGCGUGAGUGAUGAAGGUCUUCGGAUCGUAAAACUCUGUUAUUAGGGAAGAACAUAUGUGUAAGUAACUGUGCACAUCUUGACGGUACCUAAUCAGAAAGCCACGGCUAACUACGUGCCAGCAGCCGCGGUAAUACGUAGGUGGCAAGCGUUAUCCGGAAUUAUUGGGCGUAAAGCGCGCGUAGGCGGUUUUUUAAGUCUGAUGUGAAAGCCCACGGCUCAACCGUGGAGGGUCAUUGGAAACUGGAAAACUUGAGUGCAGAAGAGGAAAGUGGAAUUCCAUGUGUAGCGGUGAAAUGCGCAGAGAUAUGGAGGAACACCAGUGGCGAAGGCGACUUUCUGGUCUGUAACUGACGCUGAUGUGCGAAAGCGUGGGGAUCAAACAGGAUUAGAUACCCUGGUAGUCCACGCCGUAAACGAUGAGUGCUAAGUGUUAGGGGGUUUCCGCCCCUUAGUGCUGCAGCUAACGCAUUAAGCACUCCGCCUGGGGAGUACGACCGCAAGGUUGAAACUCAAAGGAAUUGACGGGGACCCGCACAAGCGGUGGAGCAUGUGGUUUAAUUCGAAGCAACGCGAAGAACCUUACCAAAUCUUGACAUCCUUUGACAACUCUAGAGAUAGAGCUUUCCCCUUCGGGGGACAAAGUGACAGGUGGUGCAUGGUUGUCGUCA